rnacentral:tRNA from 1 species
GCCUGGCUGGCUCAGACAGUAGAGCACGAGACUGUUAAUCUCAGGGUUUGAGUUUAAGCCCCAUGUUGGGUG